rnacentral:misc_RNA from 1 species
AACGCACAUUGCGCCCAUUAGUAUUCUAGUGGGCAUGCCUGUUCGAGCGUCAUUACAACCCUCAAGCGCUGUAGUGCUUGGUGUUGGGGCUUCUGCUGCCCUGCAGCAGGCCCUGAAAGCUAGUGGCAGGCUCGCCGUGACCCUGAGCGUAGUAGUUUACACCUCGCUUCUGUGGCUCAUGGCGGGUUCUCAGCCGUAAAACCCCCCAUUUUUACAAGGUUGACCUCGGAUCAGGUAGGAAUACCCGCUGAACUUAA